rnacentral:tRNA from 1 species
GGCUUCAUAGCUCAGUUGAUUAGAGCGUCCCACCAGUAUUGCGAGGUCAUGGGUUCAAACCCCGUUGAAGUCC